rnacentral:rRNA from 1 species
AUGUGGAUUUGCCUUCGUGUGUUGUGUUUGAGAUUAGUGUGUGCGUCUCCAGGCUUACAACGUGCACAGUCCAGUUGGGGAGGAGAACUAGUCGUAGUACUGAUUAACGUGCAGCUUGUCCAAGCUGCUGCGUACGUACAUGCCGACCCACUGGAACAAAGAAAAAAAAUGAUCAACUGUCAAGAAAUUUAUGCGACUACGCGACCGCAACUUGAGGGGUGGACACAACGGUCGAGCUUGGAUUGGGUGGACUGGACACAACGAGUGCACAACGCUCUGCAUAUUGCCAAAAGCAGCUUGAGCAAUUUCAGCAAAGGGAACCGCUUCUUUGUAAAUGUGUGUAUGGGUCGAUGA